AUGUGUUAGUGAUUGCCGUGGUUAGCUUUUGGCAAGGCGCGCAUCGAGCCAAAACUAUGAACAAAAAGCACGACCGCGC
rnacentral:misc_RNA from 1 species